rnacentral:rRNA from 1 species
UACGGAGGGUCCGAGCGUUAUCCGGAAUUAUUGGGUUUAAAGGGUCCGUAGGCGGGCCGGUAAGUCAGAGGUGAAAGUCUGCCGCUCAACGGUAGAACUGCCUUUGAUACUGUCGGUCUUGAGUUAUGGUGAAGUUGCCGGAAUAUGUAGUGUAGCGGUGAAAUGCAUAGAUAUUACAUAGAACACCGAUUGCGAAGGCAGGUGACUAACCGUAUACUGACGCUGAUGGACGAAAGCGUGGGGAGCGAACAGG